CCUACGGGUGGCAGCAGUGGGGAAUAUUGCACAAUGGGCGCAAGCCUGAUGCAGCCAUGCCGCGUGUGUGAAGAAGGCCUUCGGGUUGUAAAGCACUUUCAGCGGGGAGGAAGGCGGUGAGGUUAAUAACCUCAUCGAUUGACGUUACCCGCAGAAGAAGCACCGGCUAACUCCGUGCCAGCAGCCGCGGUAAUACGGAGGGUGCAAGCGUUAAUCGGAAUUACUGGGCGUAAAGCGCACGCAGGCGGUCUGUCAAGUCGGAUGUGAAAUCCCCGGGCUCAACCUGGGAACUGCAUUCGAAACUGGCAGGCUAGAGUCUUGUAGAGGGGGGUAGAAUUCCAGGUGUAGCGGUGAAAUGCGUAGAGAUCUGGAGGAAUACCGGUGGCGAAGGCGGCCCCCCGGACAAAGACUGACGCUCAGGUGCGAAAGCGUGGGGAGCAAACAGGAUUAGAUACCCGAGUAGUC
rnacentral:rRNA from 1 species